ACGGAAGGUCCGGGCGUUAUCCGGAUUUAUUGGGUUUAAAGGGAGCGUAGGCCGGAGAUUAAGCGUGUUGUGAAAUGUAGACGCUCAACGUCUGCACUGCAGCGCGAACUGGUUUCCUUGAGUACGCACAAAGUGGGCGGAAUUCGUGGUGUAGCGGUGAAAUGCUUAGAUAUCACGAAGAACUCCGAUUGCGAAGGCAGCUCACUGGAGCGCAACUGACGCUGAAGCUCGAAAGUGCGGGUAUCGAACAGGAUUAGAUACCCUGGUAGUCCGCACGGUAAACGAUGGAUGCCCGCUGUUGGUCUGAAUAGGUCAGCGGCCAAGCGAAAGCAUUAAGCAUCCCACCUGGGGAGUACGCCGGCAACGGU
rnacentral:rRNA from 1 species